GGGGAAUAUUGCACAAUGGGCGCAAGCCUGAUGCAGCCAUGCCGCGUGUGUGAAGAAGGCCUUCGGGUUGUAAAGCACUUUCAGCGGGGAGGAAGGUGUUGAGGUUAAUAACCUUGUCGAUUGACGUUACCCGCAGAAGAAGCACCGGCUAACUCCGUGCCAGAAGCCGCGGUAAUACGGAGGGUGCAAGCGUUAAUCGGAAUUACUGGGCGUAAAGCGCACGCAGGCGGUCUGUCAAGUCGGAUGUGAAAUCCCCGGGCUCAACCUGGGAACUGCAUUCGAAACUGGCAGGCUAGAGUCUUGUAGAGGGGGGUAGAAUUCCAGGUGUAGCGGUGAAAUGCGUAGAGAUCUGGAGGAAUACCGGUGGCGAAGGCGGCCCCCUGGACAAAGACUGACGCUCAGGUGCGAAAGCGUGGGGAGCAAAC
rnacentral:rRNA from 1 species